CCAGGGGACACAGGCAUGUAAGCAAAAUGGUGCACUUGAGAUGCUGUAAACUGUUCUAAGUUCCUGGAUCAAGUGUGGGAAAGGAGUAGCAGAAGAGAAGUUUGGAAAGUUCCUCCGUCCCUCUAUAUCAUGAUGGGCUGAUGAGGCUGAGGAAUUUGGAAUGUGGUCUGUAAGGGACUGGAAUCCAUUCAAGUACUAGAACAGGAAAGAGAUAUGAUCAGAUUAUCAUUUUAGAAAUUCUUCUGUGUUUUCAGGAAGUUUGGGAAGUGAUACAAAUAAAGGUGGGGAGCCCACAAAGGAACUGUACAGAAGUUUAUUAUGCAGGAGAAGAGCACUCACUGUACUUCCAUGUAUAGAAAAUUAACAAUUGUUUAUUGUUUUUUGUGGCAUUUUUCUCCUUGGUAGAAAUUCAUAUUUGCUGAGAGAGAAUUUUUUUUUUUUUUUUUUAGGGCCACACCUGUGGCAUAUGGAAGUGGCUAGGGACUGAAUGGGAAAUACAGCUGCUGGCCUACGCCACAGCCACAGCAGUGUGGGAUCCAAGCCAUAUGUGUGACCUACACCACAGCUCACAGCAACGCUGGAUUCUUAACCCACUGAGCGAGGCCAGGGAUCGAACCCACAUCCUCAUGGACACUAGUUGGAUUCAUUACCUCUGCACCACAACAGGAACACCAAGAAGAUUAAUUUUAUGUUAGUAGGGGUGUUUCUUUAUUUUUAAAUAUAUCCUACCAGUUAUUACUGGGGUGUUUCUUUAUUUUUAAAUAUAUCCUACCAAUUAUUAUCCCUGAACCUGUGUGUGGACUUAAAUUUUAGGGUCAACUUUACAAAUUCAUAUAGAAGACAAGGUAUGGUAAUAAAAAACAUUUUUUAUUGGUUACUGGACCUUUCUUCUUGUGUGUCUUGUUGGGAAUCUCUAAUAUCCCAAGACUAUUUUAUUUUCUUAGAUAGAAAUAGCACUUUACAAUAACUAGGCCAGGCCUUUAGGUUAUAAAAUCAUUCAGAAAAUCUUGAGAAGUAAUUGUCCUCUGUCAAUGGAAACAUAUUUAAAAACUAAGUCUGCGUAUGUCAUUUUAAGACUCCAGUAACUUAUGAAUCAUUGUUUUCUAGUAUCAGAGGUAUUACAUCCACUUAAGACACUCACAAGUGGUUCAUACAUAACAAUAGUCCAGAGAAUAUUUUAUCUUUCUGGUGUAAGUUACUUAAAAUGUGUAAGAAGCCAGACUCGUACUCUUCUUAUACUUUUUCAGCACAUUCUAAAGGCAUGAGUAGUCUAGCUGAUGAUUUAAAAAUCUUUUGUACUUAUUUCAAUCCUCCUUAUCAGAUCAUUCCUGGAAUGAAAUUUUAUUAAGUGGUACCGAUGUAUCUGAAUAUAUAGCACACUCAAUUCCACUUAUACCAGUGGUUAAAAAUAGUCACAAACAUAUGCAAAGUAGAAUAUAACUGACAGGUUUCUGUGACUUUCUCUUUUAAAACAUGUCAAAGACUUAACUGGACAUCGUGGACAGUUUUCUUCCAACUCAUACUGCACGAAAAAGCAAAUAUAGCAAAUAAACUCAAGCACUUAAAUAGGAUUUAUCAUGUAUCUGGCACAUUUCAGUCCAUUUCUUUACCAGUAUGGACCCAUUUGAAUCAACUGGUAUGUUAUCCUAUAAAUUAUGUUAUCAUGUAUAGAAUUCAUACCCCAAUAUUUGUCAAGGCCAAUAAUUACUGUCAGGGAGUGUCUCAGUAGUAACCAAGGAAAAAUACUGAAGACUCUUGAAUAGUUCCAGUGACAUUUAUGACUAACAUGGCCUGCUUCUCGAACUUAGUACACAUAUAGUCACUCCUUUUUUGGGUCACAAGUUCUUUGUUGAACCCCAACUUUGAUGCUGGCAGGGUCUAUACUUUCCUUUGCCAAAAUAUCCAAGGAAACUGGGAAUUCACUUAAUCAUAGUGUCACUGUUGAUGCUGAGUUUGUACAGUCCCAUGGAUACUUGUCCAGUGUAGCAGAGGCCAAACCCUGAAGGAAGCUGUUGUUCUUCUAGGGAGGAGGAUUGAACCCUGCCCCACCACCCCGACCCUACCACCAAGUGCUAAGCACUGCCAAAGGGUCUAUAUUCUAGGCCUCCCAGGACCCCACUCUUUAGUUUACUCACCAUGCUCAGCCAUUUUUCCUCAUUGCUCCCAAUCUCCCCACCAGGCUGGCCGGACCUGCAAGGUCCUCCAGCAUUAGGAAUGCACUGUUCAGAAAUUAAGUCUCUUCUUGUACUCGUAGUAUGAAACCAGAGUCACCAGCCUAGGUGGCCAUAUCAUUAUAAGGGUCCCAUUACCAUUCCCUGAUGCCAGUUUGUGAUCAGGGUUAUUUAAUAUAGCUUGAAAAAUUUUUCUCAGUUUUAAAGUUCAAAGAGUAGGAAUUAGGCUUUAAACACUUUUUAAUUCUAAAAGAUACUUGGGCCCCACAAAUUGACUUUAUUUUUCUUUAGUGAUAAUCUCUGGGUACAAGGGUUGAAAAUAGCAGCAUCCUUCAACUGCAGCUUAAUUCAGAACAGUGGUUGUGUAUUUACUCUAAACUUCCAUAAGUAUAUGAACUCCUUAAAUGACCAUUCCUAGGAUAACAAUCUUUUCUUAUUAAAUAUAACCAAACCAAGCCACAUUGCACAAUGUCAUACCAAAUCAAACUAGAACAUGGAUAAAGACAAAACUUCCCAGACUAUAUCAAGCUAUAGACUUAUAAGUACUUUUAAAAGAAUUUCCUGGUUUAAAUUAUCUUUUUUUUUUAUUUAAACAUAUUCUAAAUCUUCCUGAGCUAGACUUGAAUUCAAAAUCCAUGAUCCCAAGCAGAGCAUACAGUUUCCUUUGUAAAUGACAGUUUAAUCCUCUGCUGCUUAGGAAUGAAGAUGAAGCCUACUUUAAAACAGUUUUUCAAGCCCUACCAUAUCCUCCACCCUCAUUCUUCUCUUGAUAGAGAAAGAUAAUAAAAAUAGGGAGGGAGAGAGCCGUGUGUGUGUGUGUGUGUGUGUGUGUGUGUGUGUGUUUCAGUUAUUGAAUCAAAGGAUGCAGAAGCUAGAAAAAUUAUAGAGCAAUUCCAAGAACCAAGGAGGCAAUUUUCAAGGUAAAAACGGCUCACAAAAUGAUCUCACUGAGUUGGCUUGUGAAAGGUUUUUAGACCCCUGGAUAUUGUGAUUUAUAAUAAGAAAUACAUAUUUGGUCUUUUUUCCUUUUCUGGCACAGAGCUCCUAAAAACCUUGGAAUUUCCUAAGUAGUGAGAGUAAUAAAGGUCUUUUAUUUUGUGAAUGAAGUGACUUUUAGAAAGCCCUUAAGAAUGGAGGUUGGUUGCCAGGACAACCAACCCCAUGAUUGGAGGACCAGAUCUUUCAGUCAGUCCCACUUCCCAACUUCUAGGGAGGCAAGAAUGCUGCAGUGAGUUCAGUUGCCAAUAGCCAAUUGUUUAGUUAAUCAGGUCCCCUAAAACCCCCAAAAGACAAGGUUCAGAGAGCUUCUGGAUUGGUGAACACGUGCAGAUUUGGGGAGAGUGGUGUGCCUGGACAGGGCUUGGAAGUUCCCUACCUUUCCCCAUUAUCUUGUACUAUGCUUUUCUUUCGUGUGGCUGUUCCUGAUGGGCAUCUUUUGUAAUAAACCAGUGUUCCAGUAAGUUAAAUAUUUCUCUGGGCUCUGUGAGCCACUAUGGCAAAUUAAUCCAACUUGAGGAAGGGGUUGUGGAAACCUUGGUUUUAGAGCUAGCUGGUCAGAAUCACAGGUAACAACCUAGACUUGUGACUGGCCUCUACAGUGGGAAAGAUUGUAAUCUUGUAGGACUCAAUUCUUAACUUGUGGGAUCAGAUACUAUUUCUGGGGAGAGAGUGUCAGAAUUGUAGUAGAAUUAUAGGACACCCAACUGAUGUCCAGAGCAUUGCAUAUUGGUGUGGGGAACACCUCCCCAUUGGAAAUUGGGUCUUAAAGCACCCAAGUGUACCCCGCCCCCCCAACCAAGGCCAUCAUUUGACACAUGGAAUGAAAGCCAACAGCCUAAAUUUUGAGACUCAGCUGUUAAGUUUUAUCUUAAGUGCAAUUAAAGGGAGAGUCACGUUACACGAUCAGACUUGCUUUUUAUUUUAUUUUAUUUUUAUUCUGGAGAAUGGAUUUGCAAGAGCAAAUACCAGAUGAUUGAUUAGGAGGCCAUUUCAAUUGUGCAGAUAAGAGAUUGUGGUGGUCUUACAGUGGGAGAUAAAAUCGAAUGGAUAGUCUUUCUGAUAAUAUUUCCUGACUUCCCUCAUUCAGAAUAGCUUGUGGCACCAAACUUGAAAUACCGUGUGUGAUUUUUAGGAUGAAGAAAGAACACAUGGAUUUCAUUACUAUUCUUCAAAACGUUGAAGGAUGACAAGUUGAGUAGAAACUUAAUUUGGGAAAGCUUAUAUAAUUGUCUCCUCAUCGCUGAAAGGUCUUCAGACAACUAAAUGAAUGCCUUCACUCCUGUGACAUCUUUCAGGUUUUAAUUUACAUGUUUUUUUUUUUUUUUUGAUGGAAGGAGAGGUGAUUAGGAAUAGAUUUCUAUCAGGAUCAUGUUUAUUAUAUUGACAGAACAUUUUAGUCAUGAUUUUAUAUUAAUUGUAUAGUUGGGAUUCAAAGGAUGACUGUUGACUCAAAACAAAUUAUUAUAAUUUUCAUGUCUCCCACACCAGGGCACGGAUAUUGUGGUUCUGUAACUCAGUCAGUUACUAUGGAAAACUGGUUUGCUCUACGAAGUAACAGAAAUCCUAGGAGGAAAUGAGUGUGCAAUUUUGAAGCUCACUGCACUGGGUAAAGGAGUUUUAGAUACUUUGACUUAUAACUGAAACUUUAGAAAAUCCCCUUCCAAAAAGGUCAUAGAAAUACUGGUAUGUUGCUGUGAUGGGGAUUUUUAAAAAAUAUCUAACUCUUGAGGGAUAGGAAAUUCUAAAAAGAAUCCUUAUGGGACAAUCUUUAUUCAUUCAAGUG
rnacentral:lncRNA from 1 species